GAGACAGCAGUAGCCGCGGGAAUACGAAGGGGGCUAGCGUUGUUCGGAAUUACUGGGCGUAAAGCGCACGUAGGCGGACAUUUAAGUCAGGGGUGAAAUCCCGGGGCUCAACCCCGGAACUGCCUUUGAUACUGGGUGUCUAGAGUAUGGAAGAGGUGAGUGGAAUUCCUAGUGUAGAGGUGAAAUUCGUAGAUAUUCGGAAGAACACCAGUGGCGAAGGCGGCUCACUGGACGACUGUUGACGCUGAGGUGCGAAAGCGUGGGGAGCAAACAGGAUUAGAUACCCCAGUAGUCCCUGUCUCUUAUAC
rnacentral:rRNA from 1 species